rnacentral:piRNA from 1 species
ACCUCAGUAGCUAUUAAGUAACAUCAAGU